UCGUAGCCCAGUGGACAUGGCAUCUGCCCGGUAAGCGGAACACUGUGGGUUCGAUUCCCAUCCCUGGACAC
rnacentral:tRNA from 1 species